rnacentral:misc_RNA from 1 species
GAAUUGCGAUAAGUAAUGUGAAUUGCGGAAUGCGGUGAAUCAUCGAAUCUUUGAACGCACAUUGCGCCCGCAAGUAUUCUGGCGGGCAUGCCUGUUCGAGCGUCAUUUCAACCAUCAAGCCCCCGGGCUUGCGUUGGGGACCUGCGGCUGCCCGCAGGCCCUGAAAACCAGUGGCGGGCUCGCUGUCACCCCGGUCGUAGUAGUAUCAUCUCGUCCAGGGCGUGGCUGCGGGCUCCGGCCGUUAGACCUUCUCACAUCCAAAGGUUGACCUCGGAUCAGGUAGGAAUACCCGCUGAACUUAA